GGCACCGGCGGAGGGAAAGCGCCGGCCGGCCCUGGCAGCGAGGCACAAAGAAACUUUGGAGACCUUCAGUACCCUGCAAGGACCUCAUACCCUGCAGCAAGUUUAUAGGACAUGGUCGUUUACAGUGGGCACAAAUGGCAUCUGGACACACACCCUGCACUGUGUGAGGGGAAGAAGCUGAGGCAAAUUAAUGCCGUUUUUACUUUGAACUACCAAAGAGUGAUGAUUAAAGUUUAAGUUUGAUCCAUACAGCUCCUGGAACUGCAUCUGCUAGUGCCUGAGGAUGGACUGCAUCCCGGGAGGGAUGAACAUUCGCAAUGCAGAGCCCAGCAAGCACUGUUUGGAACAGGUUCUUUGCAAACACAGCCCCAGAAGGUGUCAUCUGUACUAACUCACUGAAGCAGAUGAGCUACCUGAGGAUCCUGGGUCUGCAGCAAAGAAAUGUGCUGGGCUGCACUGUGGCUGCCCUGGUAUGCCCUGUAUCAGGAGGCGUGUGCUGAAGGAGACCUACAUACAUUUCAGAACGUAAUGGCAGGAUCCAACUACCAUAAUUACUUCAGGGGUAUUGCUGAAGCGAACACCAACCCACACUGUAGGCCACAUUAUGAUUCUCUCUGCAGUUACCCACCCCUGGGCGAGGUUGGACCACUCAUAGUUGGAGAGUGGAAAAGUGACUGCUCAGCAACCUGCACGACUGAAGGCCAGGAGAAAAGAAAAGCUGACACUGAAUCCUCUUCACACAUCACCCAGGCUAUAGAGAAGAGGCCUGGGCUCUAGCUAAUUUAUGAAUCAUUCCCUCCUAGCACAUAAACCACCCACUUAUGUGGCAGAAAGAGAGCACACGCGUGCGUCACCGCUUGGAGAAAACAACGCAAGCAGAAACCUCACUCGCUCUGACAGAUUUCUAAAAGUGCAGAGGGAAGAGCAGAGAAAGCCACCACGAAUCAAGGCACCCCUACGCUGGCACAAAGCCCCAGGGUAUUCCAAGAUAAUGGACUUCUACCAAUUUCUGUUCAUUUUGAAGAAAACUUGAAAACAUUGGGAAAAAUCUUCAAGGACUGUAAGACAGCAGCCUUUACCAGAACAAACCCAUGUGGAUGGAUAUUUUAACCACAGUUUCUCCACUUCAGAGGAAACCAAUCUCUCAGAUCACUAAGAAUCAAACAGGCGAUUUUCAUGACUGAUACUAAACAAAGUUUUGUUAUCUAUCAAUAAACGUUUACCACAGCUGAGAACAGGUUGUUUAGCUUUAACCAACAAAAGCCUGGGAAAAUCUCUCGAAAAACACAGUGAACAAAACCAAUUCACCAUGUAAGAAGAAAGAGGUUCAUCUCUCUGCUGUAUUUUCUAUUAAGCUCCAACUCACAGUGAGGUAGGGCAUAGGUCUGUGCCUCUGCAGACAUGGAGAUUUUGUUCAUUGUGAUUACAGCAUGUUUUAUUAAAAAUCUGAAUGAAGAUCUGUUUCCCUGAAGCUCUAGCUUGCUAAUAGCUCUGGGAGAGGAAUGAAUGACAGCGUCAAACCUCAUCAGCCCAGAAAUGAAGAAUGCCAACAACUCGUCUAACCUGUAGAUCAGAGAUUGCAGGAUUCACUUGAAUUAAUACAAUUUGAAUCGGAGCAUUUCUUUGAAACAACAGUCUGACCAACUUAAGCAACUUUCAAGGAUGGAGAACCAAAGCCAACCCACUGCAACAUUUAGAAACUUGUUCUACUGGUCAGCCACCUUCACUGUCAAAAUAUUUGUAGAGAUUUUCUUUUUCCUCCAUUAUAAUUUAUUUCUUACUGCUUAUUUUUAAAGGCCUGAAGUUAAUUUGGGCAUAUAGGUACACCAGUCCAAUACCACUUCACUUUCAGUCUCUGUUUCAUACAGUGAAAAACCUCCUAACCAAUAGGUCUUGCAUCAAUGCCAUGUUCUGUGCAAAUUGGUGCAAACUGAAACCCAACAUUUAACAUGAGAAAACAUCAAGCCAAGCCAGAAAGAGCAAAGAAUCACAAAGUCGAGUUUGGGGAAAGGAGAGACAGAGAAACAAGCAAGAUAAGCUGUGGGGUUUCAGGAGAAAAAAACCCACACACACACAAACGCUGCCCACCCCAGUUCCCAGAAAAUGCAGUGUGUGCCUCUGGUGAAUGCUAUUUCCCCUUCUGCCUUCCUCAGGCAGCAGCCACAGCAAGUCACUGCUCAGGAGCUCCCAGAGCCACUGUGCUCACUCGUAUUCACCAUCAGCACUCGCUGUGGUGAGCACAGACAUUUCCACAUUUCUACAGACUACAGGACUGCUCUGGACAGUAAAAACCCAAGAGUGGCUACAGGCAGCAGCUGCAAAGCCUGUUUCUGUGACCUCUCCCUCGCUAGUGUUUACAUGGGAAGGAUGGAAUGCCACAGAGUAUACCCUCUGAGGUACACUUGACUAAAACAGCUUUGCAAAGCCAGUCUCAAAACAUGUCUUUCCACGUUUUUGGAAGAUGCAACUAUUUAAAUGAUCAUCUUGAAAUAUUGAACUCCUCACUUCCUCAUUUUAGCAUUAAAAACAAAACAGCAACAAAACAACUGGGAAGAACAUACUUGACAUGACAUGUCCCAUGUCUGACCCAUCUGAGUCCCGCUCAGAGCAGGGACCCAAUACUGACACUCAUGCCCACGCACAAACAGGGGACCCAAGGAGAGGAGGGACAGCAAAGAACAUCAAACUCCAUCCAAACAAUGGUACUUGUACAAAGGAAGAGGACACAGAGGGGACACAUCAGAGUUCAGGAUAAAGAACUAGUCUGUGAUACUACAAAGGCAAGGUCUCCCCUCCCAAGCGCUUCUCUGAGAGAUCACAUCACACCUGUCCCUGAGAUCCAUUCCUAUCUCAUCCCACUAACUUAAAAGGAGUUAUCCUGACUUGCACCAAUGGGAGAUUGGAAUACAACUGUUUGAAGAAUGUUUUAUGUUUUCAUUUUAAUGCCAAUAAACAGGAAAUA